UUGAUUUAGUCUGGUGGCUUC
ensembl:piRNA 21ur-6646 ncRNA